UUUGGUGAGAUUUAAAUUUAUCUUACAUCAUUUUUGCAUCACAGUUCAAAAAAUGAUUAAUCUGUGACUUUUAGGAGCAAGUACAACUUUUGGAGAUGAGAAAUAUCUACUCGUAUCAAUUUUCAGAAAGAAGUCCAGGAAGAGGUACCUUUAGUAUUGCUCAGUAUUUAAGAUUUAUGUCCUUGACUAAUAUAUCCCAAGGAUUCAUUUGAGCCGUCAGCCAUACCGCAUAAUUGUCAUACAAUUCUCGUUUUCGUGAGCAAAACAUCUGUUUCAAAGAAGUCUUGCUCCUGGGAUGGUGUGUUGGGUGAUAAGUGUGACUCUUGGGGCUCAGGGGACAGACAGCGGAUGGGAUCAGAAAGUCAAUUACGAUUUAACAAGCUUUUUGUGUUUAUAUCUAUAUUGUGCUCUCUGUGUUUAAUUUCUCAGCUGCGAAAGAGUCUAAAUCCAUUCAAACAGAGCAAUUGUGCCCUGUUCACAAGGAGGUAGGUACCUCCACAGCAGAGGUAGAACACAAGCGCUCAGGGGACGUCAAGAUGACCCUGCAGAAGCACAAAAGCACGGAGAGCUGUAAUGAGCCGAGCCAUAACGCCCAGGAGGUUCCUGCCACUGGAUACGUAGAAACAAAGAACAAUGAAAGUGCUGCAAAAGAUGGGCCAAUAGUUGGAAACACAACAAAAUAUGGAAACACUUCUGUUGAAACUGCUGCAGGCCCUCCAGUGCCGCUUUGCUGACCAGGAGGUCUCCCUCAUCGCUGCUGAGAAGGCACCACUACCCGCGCCUUCAGAGACACCAUGAAGAACCCGCACCUCAGGAAUCCGACAGCAGGGUGGGACCUGCGGAGGAACCGCGUCACCUACAGCGAAGGCCGCAUAAAGUCACGUCACCUAGAAACGGAGGCCUGUAAGCCCCACUUUUUCAGACCUUCACAAAGUGGCCUUGCGGGAGGAGGAGAGUGGCAAGCUGAAGAAGUGGAACUUGAUGAAGGAACUUUUUGGUAAGGUGACUUUCAGUGAACCAAGACCAAAGUCAAAGGUCAGGCCCAGAUCCUAAAGCUCAUAUAUAAACCCCACGGGAAAGAAAACGAAGAUUCUGCUAUGAAGGAAAACAAUAUGAUCAUCUUUGUGUGGCAGAGAACCGUAAUGGUCCUGUAACAAUUUUACCUGAUAUGGCCUUAAAUGUACAGUAUGUUUUUUGAACUUGACUGAAAAUAUUUUUAUUUCAUUUUUAGCAUCCCUAUCAUUCA